GGUAUGAUUCGAGCUGAUUCUAUUUUUCAAGUCAAAUUCCUUCAAAGUGUUUUAUAGAUUCAUCACAAGCCUGUGUUUGGGAGGAAACUCCACAGGGAUUCUUCGAGGACCAUGGCUUAGGCUAAAGUUUUCCUGUUCAGCACUGCACCUUCCACUCCCUUCAUCCUAACUGCAUUGCAUGACUGACUGAAUUCAUUCAUCUUGGUUUAUUUCUAUGACACAAUGUUUGGUAGUAAUCAGAUUGAUUGGGUUUGUCUUGUAACAAUACUGUUCAUUGAUAAAAUAUAUUUUGUAUACUGCUUGUCAUGAGAUUAAGUGAUAGUUUUAUUUAAAAGUCAAAAUAUUUCUGUACAAGUAUUUUGUAUUUCAACCUAUUAUUAUAUCAGUCUUGAUAAACUGGACUCAAAGUUCAUGGGGAUAUUAUUUUGCAAUAAACAAAAAGGGGAGGACAUAAAUGUACUAUGAACAUUUGGAUCAUACUAAAUGAUGAGCAGCUAAGGAUGUCCUUCUUCGUAAAAUAUAAAAGCAUUCCUUUCUACAAAUCUCCUGCAGGGUGGAACAUAGUACAAAAGAAUACAUCUGUACCUUAGAAAACAACGAUAGAUAAAAAAAAAAACAUUAACUGGCAAGAUUGGGGUGGCUAUUUUGUAUUGGCUUGAGUCUAGACCUUAAAAUUGAUUAAUUGUAUUUGUAAUGCCAUGUUGACUAUUGUAUUUUGCAUAGACUACAGGUAAGCAAUUCCAUUACUUUUCUGUUAUAUGUUUUAAUGACAUCCUUGCCUGUUUUCUUAACAGCACAAUAAGAAGCUUGUAUGUUUUAGUUGCUGUAUUUUGUAUUUACUUUAAGAUAUUCAAAGUAAAU
rnacentral:sRNA from 1 species